AUUGAACGCUGGCGGCAUGCUUUACACAUGCAAGUCGAACGGUAGAGGGGGCAACCCCUUGAGAGUGGCGAACGGGUGAGUAAUGCAUCGGAACGUGCCCAGUAGUGGGGGAUAGCCCGGCGAAAGCCGGAUUAAUACCGCAUACGACCUUAGGGUGAAAGCGGGGGAUCGCAAGACCUCGCGCUAUUGGAGCGGCCGAUGUCAGAUUAGGUAGUUGGUGGGGUAAAGGCCUACCAAGCCGACGAUCUGUAGCUGGUCUGAGAGGACGACCCGCCACACUGGGACUGAGACACGGCCCAGACUCCUACGGGGGGCAGCAGUGGGGAAUUUUGAACAAUGGGCGCAAGCCGGAUCCAGCCAUGCCGCGUGGGGGAAGAAGGCCUUCGGGUUGUAAACCGUUUUUGUCAGGGAAGAAAUCUUCUGGGCUAAUACCCUGGGAGGAUGACGGUACCUGAAGAAUAAGCACCGGCUAACUACGUGCCAGCCGCCGCGGUAA
rnacentral:rRNA from 1 species